rnacentral:lncRNA from 1 species
AAGAUAAAAAUAUUUAAAGAUUUUUGGUGAAAGUUCCAUAUUUUUUGGAUUAAAAAUGAAAUUAUUAUGAAUAAAAGAAAAUAAAGGAAUUAAACAUAAAAUCAGAAAUUUAAAAGAAAAUAAAAAAAAACAAGGGCUAUCAGAUCUCCCUCAUUAAUUGAGGUGGCAGAUCUGAUGGCCAAAAGCGCGCAUUCCACCAACACUUGAGUCAAACGCAUGGCA